rnacentral:rRNA from 1 species
CCUACGGGAGGCAGCAGUGGGGAAUAUUGCACAAUGGGGGAAACCCUGAUGCAGCGACGCCGCGUGAGCGAAGAAGUAUUUCGGUAUGUAAAGCUCUAUCAGCAGGGAAGAAAAUGACGGUACCUGAGUAAGAAGCUCCGGCUAAAUACGUGCCAGCAGCCGCGGUAAUACGUAUGGAGCAAGCGUUAUCCGGAUUUACUGGGCGUAAAGGGAGCGUAGGCGGCCUGCCAAGUCUGAUGUGAAAGACCGGGGCGCAACCCCGGGGCUGCAUUGGAAACUGGCAGGCUGGAGUACCGGAGAGGCAGGCGGAAGUCGUGGUGUAGCGGUGAAAUGCGUAGAUAUUAGGAAGAACACCGGUGGCGAAGGCAGCGUACUAAACGGUGACUGACACUGAGGCUCGAAAGCGUGGGGAGCAAACAGGAUUAGAUACCCGUGUAGUC